rnacentral:rRNA from 1 species
AUUGAACGCUGGCGGCAGGCCUAACACAUGCAAGUCGAAUGGUAACAGGAAACAGCUUGCUGUUUCGCUGACGAGUGGCGGACGGGUGAGUAAUGUCUGGGAAACUGCCUGAUGGAGGGGGAUAACUACUGGAAACGGUAGCUAAUACCGCAUAACGUCGCAAGACCAAAGAGGGGGACCUUCGGGCCUCUUGCCAUCAGAUGUGCCCAGAUGGGAUUAGCUAGUAGGUGGGGUAACGGCUCACCUAGGCGACGAUCCCUAGCUGGUCUGAGAGGAUGACCAGCCACACUGGAACUGAGACACGGUCCAGACUCCUACGGGAGGCAGCAGUGGGGAAUAUUGAACAAUGGGCGCAAGCCUGAUGCAGCCAGGCCGCGUGUAUGAAGAAGGCCUUCGGGUUGUAAAGUACUUUCAGCGGGGAGGAAGGGAGUAAAGUUAAUACCUUUGCUCAUUGACGUUACCCGCAGAAGAAGCACCGGCUAACUCCGUG